rnacentral:piRNA from 1 species
UUGGAGGUGAUCUAUUAUAAGAGGUCAGG